GCUUAACACAUGCAAGUCGAACGAUGAAGCCCCUCGGGGUGGAUUAGUGGCGAACGGGUGAGUAACACGUGGGCAAUCUGCCCUUCACUCUGGGACAAGCCCUGGAAACGGGGUCUAAUACCGGAUAACACCGGCUUCCGCAUGGGAGCCGGUUGAAAGCUCCGGCGGUGAAGGAUGAGCCCGCGGCCUAUCAGCUUGUUGGUGGGGUAAUGGCCUACCAAGGCGACGACGGGUAGCCGGCCUGAGAGGGCGACCGGCCACACUGGGACUGAGACACGGCCCAGACUCCUACGGGAGGCAGCAGUGGGGAAUAUUGCACAAUGGGCGAAAGCCUGAUGCAGCGACGCCGCGUGAGGGAUGACGGCCUUCGGGUUGUAAACCUCUUUCAGCAGGGAAGAAGCGAAAGUGACGGUACCUGCAGAAGAAGCGCCGGCUAACUACGUGCCAGCAGCCGCGGUAAUACGUAGGGCGCAAGCGUUGUCCGGAAUUAUUGGGCGUAAAGAGCUCGUAGGCGGCUUGUCACGUCGGGUGUGAAAGCCCGGGGCUUAACCCCGGGUCUGCAUCCGAUACGGGCAGGCUAGAGUGUGGUAGGGGAGAUCGGAAUUCCUGGUGUAGCGGUGAAAUGCGCAGAUAUCAGGAGGAACACCGGUGGCGAAGGCGGAUCUCUGGGCCAUU
rnacentral:rRNA from 1 species